rnacentral:lncRNA from 1 species
UUCUCUUCUUCUUCUUCUCUUCUUCUGCUUCUUCGUCUUCUUCUUCUUUAAUAAGGCAAUAGAUCUGCCUUUUUUUUUUUAGAUUUUAUUAUUUAUUUCAUGAGAGUACAACAGAGAGAGAGAGAGGCGGGGACACAGGCAGAGGGAGAAGCAGGCCCAUGACACUGUCUUCUUCUUUUUCUUCUUCUUCUUCUUCUCUUCUUCUUCUCUUUAUUCUUCUUUCUUCUUCUUCUUCUUUAAUAAGGCAAUAGCUCUGCCUUUUUUUUUUAAGAUUUUAUUUAUUUAUUCAUGAGAGUACACAGAGAGAGAGAGAGGCGGGGACACAGGCAGAGGGAGAAGCAGGCUCCAUGACACUGUCUUCUUCUUCUUUCUUCUUCUUCUUCUUCUUCUUCUUCUCUUCUUCUUCUUCUUCUUCUUCUUCUUCUUCUUCUUCUUCUUCUUUAAUAAGGCAAUAGCUCUGCCUUUUUUUUUUUAAGAUUUUAUUUAUUUAUUCAUGAGAGUACACAGAGAGAGAGAGAGGCGGGGACACAGGCAGAGGGAGAAGCAGGCUCCAUGACACUGUCUUCUUCUUCUUUCUCUUCUCUUCUUCUUCUUCUCUUCUCUUCUCUUCUUCUUCUUCUUCUUCUUCUCUUCUUCUUCUUUUUAAUAAGGCAAUAGCUCUGCCUUUUUUUUUUUUUAAGAUUUUAUUUAUUUAUUCAUGAGAGUACACAGAGAGAGAGAGAGGCGGAGACACAGGCAGAGGGAGAAGCAGGCCCCAUGCAGGGAGCCCGAUGUGGGACUCGAUCCCGGGACUCCAGGAUCGCGCCCCGGGGCCGAAGACAGGCGCUAAACCGCUGAGCCACCCAGGGAUCCCCUUCUAUUAAAAUUUUGUGUAGCAAUCUAACAGAUUAGGGUACGUCGCUACAGCCCUGGAGGGAUCUGGAGGCGGGCAGAGCCAGGUCUCCGCCGUGAGCACGGGGGCCGCCCGCAGAGAGCCUGGAAGAGCCGCGUUCCGGGGACCCUGCGCAGGCCGGGGACGUGGGCGGGUACGCAGCUCCCAACCGCGCAGGCAGCAAGGGUCCGAGCUGCGCCGAGCGGCGCGCACCAGGCCGUCCAGGAGCCCCACCCCCUGCGACCUCGCAGCACCCCCUCCCCCACCGCGGGAAGGGCUCCGCACGCCGCGGGCCAGAACUCUCGGGCGCAGGCGCAGAGCCGCGCCGCCCACGCCCCCGCCGGCGCCCCAGUCCUGCCGCAGGUCUGCGCGGGGAGGACGAGGCCGGGCCCCACCGAGCGCGCGAGGAGCCGCUGCUGCCCGGGCCGCCUGGGUGAGCGGGUGAGCGAGCGAGCAGCGGGCGGGCGGGCGGGCUCCGCGCUAAGCCUUCCGGCUCCCUCGCACUCGGGUUCCAUCCAGAGUAGGUCCGGCCGCGGGGGUGCCCGGCCUCGGUGUGUCCCGACGCGGGGCUGGAGGCGGCCGUAUCCCCGCGAUGCCCAUGAGGAAACUGAGGCACACAGAAAUGAAGCACCUUCCUUGAAGUUACACAGCUUCAUUAACAGAAGCUUUGUGAGAAGAGUAAGGACUGAGGUAUGCCAUCUUACAGUGUGGACCAGACUUUCAGAAAGGUCAAAGCAUUAAGAUUGCACUCUGAAUAGCCCCGUGUCUCCAGCACCCAGAGCCUUGUGUUAAAUCAUCAUUUCCCAUCAGGAAUCCCAGCAUGUGAACUGGACAUGGUCCUUCAGUUAGAGAGAGAACAGCUGUGAUAGCUGAAUCUUCAGGAAACCAAAGAGGGCAGUGAGUGAAACUACCUGUUUGGGUAAGUGACACCAUGAAAAGACCACCAAUUUGAUAUUUAAGAGACAUGAGUUCUAGUCUGACCUCUUGGAAUUCGCCGGGUAACUUGAGUCCGCUUUCUAUUUGUCAGAUAAAUAUGAGCUGGCCUGGGUGAAUUCUGAUAGUAGUGUUGUUUAGAAGAAUUCCUAAACUAAUUGGAAGGAUGGUGGGGAGACAGGUAGGGGUGGCAGUGUCGUAGAUAGCAUGUCUUAAAUCCUAUUCUCUCUCAAUCCCAUGAAAAUGAUUACAUCCAAGCUUGAUAGAAUCAUCCUUACUGUGCUUUUUUAGAGGGUAUCUUUUCUACACUUCAGAGUCUACUCUUCUCAUCCCUUUCCUUUCUCCCAUUUACCAUUGCUGAUGAUCAGUUACAGUAACUGACAGAUCAUUUUACCUCCUAAUCCCCUACUCUCUGCUCAUCAACUGGCAUAUCUGCUUAUUUCCAUUUUGGGGGGCUCAACAUAGUACACAGUCACCCUUCCUGUAUAUCCUGGUAUAUCCUGAUGUCUCUGAGCUUCCUGUGCGGAGUAAAAAAAUUCUGCCUGUUAUCUCUUCUGCCCCAUUCACUUCCCUCCUCUAACUGUCCCUUUUUGUUUUCUUCCCAUAUAAAGUUGCUAGUGUGCGUGAAUUGCAAAUUUUUGUCGUUUUUUUUUUUUUUUUUUCUUUUUCUGCUGGUUUAUUUUCCUUGUUCUCCAUACUAGAUGCCGGUGACAUCUGCACUUUAAAUGUCUUUCAGAUAGGGAGAUUUGAACUGAGCCAAAGCAUCUACACCUAUCAGGCUAUUUCUGAAGAACUAAAGUUUUCAGGGUCAGCGAUGGAAAUUCUCAGGGAAUACUGCCCAAGGUCCUGCAAAUGAAGAGGCCUAUAAAGACAAGGGCCGGUUAUCAAGGCAGACAAAAUGUCCUGUACAAAAGAUAUCUUUUGAGAAAACAGCCAUCAGAAAAGUGUCAAUGACCCUCAAAGAAAUUUUCACUAGGGAGAGAGCUCCUGAAUCAGUGAAUUUA